AUAAAGUUCCUUUGGGUAAGAAGUACUACUUGUCAUCAAAAUGGAUAAAAGGAGAUGUAUCUUGACAUAUUUUAGUUCUAGAUACGUCCCUUUUUAUCCAUUUUGAUGACAAGUAUUUUCGGACGGAGGGAGCUUAUA
rnacentral:pre_miRNA from 1 species